UUGCAUCUUGCAUCUAUUCCUUUGGGUGGAUCCCAAAGGGUGGAUUAAAACAAAAAGAAAAUGAGAGUCCCCAGUGCCUGUGAAUACAAGCCAAGGUUUUUGGCACACAAAUGGACAGAGCCUGUGGAUUAGUUCUGUUAUGAACCAGUGUAAUUACAUUUCUGUUUUGGAUUUGCUAAUACUGAAUUUGUCUUCGUCUUGAGCUGGCUUAAGGUAAAGGCUUUAAAAGAGGACACCUCUUCCUCCUCCCCAAUUCCCGUUUUGUGGAUGAGGCCUCCUCCGCUCUGGGCACGCUCCACCUGCCUGCCUUUAAAAGUAAGGACUUCCAUCAAGCUGCAGGACACCUGAAGGUGGAGUUUUGAAAUGGAGGACUCUUCUGGCCAAGGAUUUCCAAAACAACUGUACUUUCCCUAUUA